rnacentral:rRNA from 1 species
GACGAACGCUGGCGGCGUGCCUAAUACAUGCAAGUAGAACGCACAGUUUAUACUGUUGCUUGCUUCACGAUAGACGGUGAGGUGCGAACGGGUGGUUAACGCGGAGCUUACCUUCCUGGUAGCGGGUGGUAACUAUUGGAAACAAUAGCUAAUAUCUCAUAAUACUGAUUGUUGCAUGAUAAUUGACUGAAAUAUGCUAUUGCAUCACUGCCACAUGGCCCUGCGUUGUAUUAGCUAGUAGGUGAGGUUACGGCUCACCUAGGGGACGAUACAUAGCCGACCUGAGAGGGUGGUCAGCCACACUGGGACUGAGACACGGCACAGACUCCUAAGGGAAGGAGCCGUAGGGAAUCUUCGGGAAUGGGCGGAAGUCUGACCGAGCAACGCCGAGGGAGUGUAGAAGGUUUUCGGAUCGUAAAGCUCUGUUGUAAGAGAAGAAAGGGUGUUGGAGUGGAAAGUUCACACUGUGACGGUAUCUUACCAGAAAGCGACGGCUAACUACGUG